UACGUAGGGGGCGAGCGUUGUCCGGAUUUAUUGGGCGUAAAGAGCGUGUAGGCGGCCAGGUAGGUCUGCUGUGAAAACUCGAGGCUCAACCUCGAGACGCCGAUGGAAACCAUCAGACUAGAGUCCGGAAGAGGAGAGUGGAAUUCCUGGUGUAGCGGUGAAAUGCGCAGAUAUCAGGAGGAACACCCGUGGCGAAAGCGGCUCUCUGGGACGGUACUGACGCUGAGACGCGAAAGCGUGGGGAGCAAACAGG
rnacentral:rRNA from 1 species